AUACGUAGGAUCCGAGCGUUGUCCGGAUUUACUGGGCGUAAAGGGUGCGUAGGCGGCGUGGUAAGUCUCAUGUGAAAUCUCCCGGCUUAACUGGGAGGGGUCAUGGGAUACUGCCAUGCUCGAGGGCAGUAGAGGAGAGCGGAAUUCCGGGAGUAGCGGUGAUAUGCGUAGAUACCCGGAGGAACACCCGUGGCGAAAGCGGCUCUCUGGGCUGUACCUGACGCUAAGGCACGAAAGCGUGGGGAGCAAACCGGAUUAGAAACCCGUGUAGUCC
rnacentral:rRNA from 1 species